UUUUUUUUUUUUUUUCUUAGAGGCCCCCUUCUCAACCUUGCUUACUUGGGAAACUCCUAGCUCCCAUUUUUUCAAGAUUCCCGCUAGUUCUUUUAUGUGUUUCCUGAUAACCUUAGGUAGAAAAACAAAACAAAACAAAGAGUUCUGUUCUCUGGGUUCCUGUAGUAUCUCCAGUCUGUUGAGCAUUUUUCACAAUAUAAUUAUCUAUCUAUAUAUAUAUAUCUUUCUUCCUUCAUUAGACUCUAAUCUCUUUUAAUGCAACAGAGUAGUUUUGUUACUGUUGUUACUUUGGAUCAAUUACUUUAGCUAAGGAGAGGCAGUUCCAGUACUUGGAGAUCACUUUGCUUACAAAGUGUUUGGAGAGGAAUACUCAAGCCCAGAGAAGUUAAGCAAAGCACCUUUGUUUUGAGUGAGAAACACUAAAAUAUUUUGGGUAGAUGAUAGCAGAGAGGCCAAGUGGAAGGAUACUGACUGAGGAAGCCAAUGAGCCAGGCUGGGGCAUCACUGAGGUGUAGUCAUACUACAGGGUGGGCCGGUUAAAUGCUUAACUUUGGUAAACAGACAUGACUUAGGAACAUUUUGGAAAUGGGAACCUAUGGCAUGUGAAAUGUUCACCUUCUCCUCUGACUUGCCCAGCAAAGAGUCAGUAUUUAGUGUUCACCAUUGAUUUUGCUCUAGACCAUAUUUGGGGAAGCAAAAAGAGAUGCUGUAUUUUUCCUCAGGUUUGGCCUAGGGUCAAAGCAGAAAUAACAUAUCUGGGGAUAGCCAGACAUCUAGUUUACAGUGAAAACCUCAGAACUGGCUGAAUACCUGAGACAUGAUGGUAGUCAAUGAAGAGACGAACAAAGAAAUGGAUGAUGGAUUCUUAGCAAAAUGCAGGAAUAGCCAGUACUGUAAUUGACUUAACUUUUUUUCCCCCCCAGAAAUUAGAACUUCUUUAAAAUUAGCAAAGCGGGGGAAAGGCACAGACAAGCCUGAAGAAAUGCCUGCAUUAUUGCUGGUAGCUACAGGAAGCAGAGGUCUACAAGUUGGCAACUUCACUUGCCUCAAGUCCCUCAACAACUCUCAGCAGGGACCAGCAAGUAUCCCUGUCCUGGUCCUUUCUGUCCUCAAAAAGAGACAACCACCUGGACCCAGUCCACACUUUGGAAUCUUUUCUCAUUCACUUAAUGAAACAUAAAUUACCCCAGGGUGGAAUAUAUACAUAUUUAUAUUUUUUAAAGAGGCAGCAUGAUUUAGUGAAAGACAAUGGAGGAAAAAUGUUUAGAUACUUUACCAACACCUCUCACCUUUAUUAAUCAUUUUUGGGUUAAUUAAUGGAAUAAUAACAUAAACAUAGUAAAGAGCAAAAGAUAUAGCAGAUACUCAAUGAUCUAUCGCCUCCCUUACUUGUUGGCUGCACCCUUGGAAUAAGAAGUCAUCUGAUAUGCCGCAGGUCAGUGUUGGUAGAGUAGGUGAAGUACACAUAACAGGAAUGUUCGAGGGUAACAUCUUGGACACUUGAUGAGUACUGAGAAAAGAGGAGUCUUAGGCUCAGAAGACAGAAAUUCUCCCUUUCCUAGUUUUGCCUUAGGCUUGCCUUUGGGGUAGGUUUUUACUAUGCUAUCAGCUGCUUAAUUGCUAUUGAUGAAAAUGUUGUGUCCCCCUAAAAUUCAUAUGUUGAAAUCCUCAAAGUAAUGGUAUUAGGAGGUGGGACCUUUGGGUGGUGAUUAGGUCAUGAGGAUAGAGCCCUAAUGAUUGGGAUUAGUACCCUUAUAAAAGAGAUCCUGGAGGGUUAGCUCUCCCCCUUCCACCAUGUGAAGAUACAAAGAGAAGGUGAUGCUUAUGAACUUUUAAGCAAGUUUUCAUCAGACAAUGAACCUGCCAGCAUCUUGAUCUUGGAAUUCCUCACCUCCAGCACUGUGAGAAAUUUCUGUUUAUAAGCCCCCUAGUCUAGAGUAUUUCCUUAUAGCAUGCUGAAUGGACUAAGACAGAGAUGUUUUCAGAUUGUUGAAUGGCUUAAUAAUCUUGUAAUGGUCUGUCUAGGAUGGGUUUACCUUAUUUUUAUUUGGAUCAUGAAAAAAAAAAAAAACAAAACAGAUCCUUGUUUCAUACUGCUGCAUCACUUAGUUUAAAAAAAAAGAUUUUCAAAAAUAUUUUACGAUGAGAUUAAUUGCUGUUCUUUACUGGGCAUUAUCUAGUCUGUGUUCUUUAUCUAUAAAAAUGCCUAUGUCUCCAAUUUAUAACAGGUUUUAAAAAAAAAUGUGUGCAAAUAAUUAUACCAGCAAACAUUCUAUCUAGUUAAAAUGUAAAUACUUUCAUCCAUUUUUUUUCUUUUGAUGGUAGAAAAUAUGUGUUUCUCAAGAAAUUUGGAAUUAACUACAAAAUCUGUUUUGAAUUUCUACUACCAAAUUAUUUGUGUAUUUGGCAGCUGGGAUUAGUCUACUAUUUGCAUUAUUUUGUAAUGCCUGCACUUGAUAUUAUGUUGUCAAUUUGCAUUUAGUCAGUUUAUUUGGAAUGAUUCAGAUGUUUUAAAUGUAUUUGUUUUUAGAUAGGAAAAAAAAGAUCAUAUAUCCCUUUCACAAUUUACAUGAAAGAUCCAGAUGCAAAUUUACUUGCCUGUCUAAAUUCUUCCCAAGUUUUUUAAGAAAUGAAAUUCUCAUUUCCCCAGAUUGAUUUGAACGUGGUAUGUUGCCUUAUUAAUUGCUAAAGAUGCAGUUGUAAAAAUGCUUAUGUAUCCUUCUUAAAGUUUUUUGUUAGCUCUUGGAAAAGAGGAGUAUAAAAAAAUUGGAAGCAGGAAUUUUAUUACACACUUUGAUGGCUUAGAGUUUUGUUCAAAAUUAGUUUUUAAUUAAAGUAAAUUUUUAUCAUCAAUAAAUAGAUUUGUCAGUAGAUUUUUGGAAGUAGGAACAGAUCAAAUCUAAUAACAUUUCUUUUCCUACACUGUGAAAUUCAGUGAUGAUAACUUUUAUUUGACUAAUGUUUUACAGUCUACAAAACAUUCAGGAGCAUCUUAUUUAAACUUCCAAUUCCCUGUAAGGUAGAUAGAGCAGGCAAUAAUUUUCUUCCCACUUUAUAGUCAAGGAACAGGAUUCUGUGAAGAGUGAAGCUGCAGAAAACAGCGGAAAGGCUGCACUGGGUACUCAUAGGCUUUCUCAUGCUAAUGUCUUUCUACAUGUCCAUGUCAAUGAAGCCUGACCUUGGCUUUCAUUUUUCUUCUUGUUUGCAAAAAAGCCUUCCUACCCAGGAGCUGCAAUAGUGACUCUGCAGUGGAACAUAAAAAAGACAUUUCAACCUUCUGACCUGAUGGUAAAUUUCCAAGGUCAGCCAAUGUCUUUGACUUGACAUUUCUAUGAUUCAAAUACAUGGAUAAACCAUUCGUUCAGUGGGGAACUCAAAUAGGGCCUGUGGGCAAUACAGAUGAGUGAGACCCAGAUUUAUGUGCUCCUUGAUUCAUUUUUCAGAUUGAUUUGUGGUGAAGAAUUUAAUUACUCAUUUGGGUUUUUAAGACAUUUUAUUUUAUUUUAUUUGCUUUUGAGGGUCACACCUGUAGCAUAUGGAAGUUCCCAUGCUAGGGGUUGAACUGGAACUGAGGCUGCUGGCCUAAGCCACAGCCACACCAUGGUGGGAUCCGAUCUGAGCCAAGUCUGUGAGCUUCACCAUGCCAGAUCCUUAACUCACUGAGUGAGGCCAGGGAUCGAGCCCGCAUCUUUAUGUAUCCUAGUAGGAUUCUUAACUCACUGAGCCACAACAGGAACUCUCUACUCAUGUGUUAUAACAUCACCAAGAAUAGACCACAGGGCUUUGUCAGGAAGGCCACUGCUUGUGGCCAGGCACUGGGUAGCCCCUGCCAGGCUUUUGCUAUCCUUGUUGCUACUUUCUAGAUGUGUAGGUUUAUAAGGCAGCCAUUUGUGAUGGAUUUUUGGCAAUAUUAUAACAUGGCCAUUCAUUCCUUAAACAAGGGAGAACAAAAAAGAAAAUGAUUUCUUUUCUGGGCAAAUCUAAUGUGUUAUCUCAAUUCUUAACACUGCCCAUAUAGGUGAUACAGAACUAAGAGUUCUUCAAGGGCCCUUUAAAUAUAACAUUCCCUUUCCAUUCUCAGAUCCUAAAUCCUUUCCACAGCAGUGCACACUAUAGUCUGUCACCUAGUCUCACAUGUCAUAUUGUCUUAAAUCCCAUCUCCUUCUGAAGAAAGUAAUUGUUCCAAGUGAAUGAUGCUAUACCAGAAAACAUUUUCAAGUGGUUGGCAGUAUCUACCUUAUAAUGGCAAUUGAAUUUGAUUAUUCUGAUUUUAAAAAUGUCAUAGAGCCCCUGUUUAUGAAUUAUCUUAUUAAAGCCAUUUGGUAUUUUUCAUAUUGAUAAUAAUUGGAAAAAGCUAAUAUGGCUGCAAGUUUUAAGAGUAACCAGAAGCCACUUAAGCUCCUAUAUUAAAAGAAAGCCCUAAAUGUGGAACGAAAGAUGUUUUUUAAUAUCCUAUGGUAGACUAAUAAAAAAAUUAAACUUAUUACAUGACAUGUAAGACAUGUAAAAUGAAUUAUUUACAAUAUUCUAGAAACAAAUUUUAAGAGUAUCUCAUGUUCCUAAAUGCUUGUAUUUAUUAUGAUUUAUCUAACAGAGAGAAUAUAAAGGAUCCUAUUAUAUUUGAAUUCUCUCUUCCAUGUUGCUCUUUGCAGGUAAAUACUAUGUUUCAUAAUUUUGAAAGUUUCACAUCUCUGUAGCUAUAUGUUCAAUGUUAUACCUUCUAAAUCUGUAGUCACAUGUAUUAUGUAUUUUUAAAGGCUUACUGAAUUUUUCUUUUUUUGUUAAAGAAAAUGAUGCAUCUGAAGGAAAUAAUCUUUUUAUUAUUUUUAUUUUUUUAGGGCCACACUUGUGGCAUAUGGAAGUUCCCAGGUUAGAAGUCCAAUUAGAGUUGCAGCUGCCAGCCUAUGCCACAGCUACAGCAACCCGGGAUCCAAGCCUCAUCUGUGACCUACAUGAUAGCUCAUGGCAAUGACAGAUCCUUAACCCACUGAGCGAGGCCAGGGAUCGAACCUGCAUCCUCAUGGAUACUAGUCAGGUUCGUUAUCACUGAGCCACUAUGGGAACUCCAGUAAUCUUUCUAAUACACAUAUCUUCUAAUUUAUUUGGGACCUCCUCAUAUUCACAUGUUGAAAAUUUUAAAAUAACUUCAAGGUCACUUAUUCCAUAAAAAGCACUUUUCAUUUAAAAGUACAUUUAACAUGUAGUAAUUUGGAAAUAAAUCCAUAAGGAUAUUGUGAAAGAAACUCCUGGGUUGUAUUUUUGGAAGAAAAUAAUUUGUAGUUCAGUGUAUUCUGAAAAUACAU
rnacentral:lncRNA from 1 species